AGCAGUCGCCGCGUAAUACGUGGGUGGCAAGCGUUGUCCGGAAUUAUUGGGCGUAAAGGGCUCGCAGGCGGUUUCUUAAGUCUGAUGUGAAAGCCCCCGGCUCAACCGGGGAGGGUCAUUGGAAACUGGGAAACUUGAGUGCAGAAGAGGAGAGUGGAAUUCCACGUGUAGCGGUGAAAUGCGUAGAGAUGUGGAGGAACACCAGUGGCGAAGGCGACUCUCUGGCCUGUAACUGACGCUGAGGAGCGAAAGCGUGGGGAGCGAACAGGAUUAGAUACCCCGUAGUCCCUGUCUCUUAUACAC
rnacentral:rRNA from 1 species